rnacentral:rRNA from 1 species
GGACUACAGGGGUUUCUAAUCCUGUUUGCUCCCCACGCUUUCGUGCCUCAAUGUCAGGAAUGAGCCAAGAAGCUGCCUUCGCCAUUGGUGUUCCUCCUGAGAUCCAUGCAUUUUACCGCUACUCCAGGAAUUCCACUUCUCUCUCUCACCCUCUAGCACGCCAGUUUUCAUCGCAAUACUCCAGUUAGGCCGGAGCCUUUAACAACGAACUUAACAUACCAUCUACGCACCCUUUACGCCCAGUGAUUCCGAAUAACGCUUGCACCCUUCGUAUUACCGCGGCGGCUGGCAC